rnacentral:rRNA from 1 species
CCUACGGGUGGCAGCAGUGAGGAAUAUUGGUCAAUGGGCGUAAGCCUGAACCAGCAAAGUCGCGUGAGGGAUGAAGGUUCUAUGGUUCGUAAACCUCUUUUAUAAGGGAAUAAAGUGUGGGACGUGUCCUAUUUUGUAUGUACCUUAUGAAUACGGAUCGGCUAACUCCGUGCCAGCAGCCGCGGUAAUACGGAGGAUCCGAGCGUUAUCCGGAUUUAUUGGGUUUAAAGGGUGCGUAGGCGGCCUUUUAAGUCAGCGGUGAAAGUCUGUGGCUCAACCAUAGAAUUGCCGUUGAAACUGGGGGACGUGAGUAUGGUUGAGGCAGGCGGAAUGCGUGGGGUAGCGGUGAAAUGCUUAGAUAUCACGCAGAACCCCGAUGGCGAAGGCAGCCUGCCAGGCCAUGACUGACGCUGAUGCACGAAAGCGUGGGGAUCAAACAGGAUUAGAUACCCUUGUAGUC